rnacentral:lncRNA from 1 species
ACAGGGAAUAGUCUACUCGAUAGAGUUUAGAGUAUGGGGCAAGAAGGACUUAAAGGUAGCACGUAGAAGGCAGCAGUUGGUUAGAGAGUGUGUCUAUAUUGUUGGUGGGCAAGUAGAUGUAAAAUAGGCAUGGAAGCAUGAUUUUAGAUCAAGGUUAUUCAUUCAUUCAUUCUUAAGAGCCAUUUUUGGCUAGAAGAAAAGAGUGAAUAAUUAGAUGUUACCUUUAUAAGAAC